rnacentral:ncRNA from 2 species
UCGAAUAUUCCGGGGAGCUUGUAUGGCAGGCUGAGAGGAAGUAAUCAAACUUUGACCCAUAUACCUGAUUUGGAUAAUGCCAACGUAGGGAAGCCUGUGGUGUUAUGUU